GCGGACGUGGUGGAAUUGGUAUACACGACAGACUUAAAAUCUGUUGCCUAUAUAGGCUUGCGGGUUCGAGUCCCGCCGUCCGCACCA
rnacentral:tRNA from 1 species